rnacentral:rRNA from 1 species
UACGGGGGGGGCAAGCGUUGUUCGGAAUUACUGGGCGUAAAGGGCGCGUAGGCGGCCUUCUAAGUCGGACGUGAAAUCCCUCGGCUUAACCGAGGAACUGCGUCCGAUACUGAAAGGCUUGAAUCCGGGAGAGGGAUGUGGAAUUCCAGGUGUAGCGGUGAAAUGCGUAGAUAUCUGGAGGAACACCGGUGGCGAAGGCGGCUCACUGGACCGUUGUUGACGCUGAGGUGCGGAAAGCGUGGG